rnacentral:rRNA from 1 species
UGCGUAGGCGGCCAUAUAAGUCAGAAGUGAAAGGCUACGGCUUAACCGUAGUAAGCUUUUGAAACUGUAUGGCUUGAGUGCAGGAGAGGAAAGCGGAAUUCUUAGUGUAGCGGUGAAAUGCGUAGAUAUUAGGAAGAACACCAGUAGCGAAGGCGGCUUUCUGGACUGAAACUGACGCUGAGGUACGAAAGCGUGGGGAGCGAACAGGAUUAGAUACCCUGGUAGUCC